ensembl:lncRNA
CUGCCGUCCAGGAGGACGUUCCCGAGCGGGCCGCUGCCGUCCAGGAGGACGUUCCCGAGCGGGCCGCUGCCGUCCAGGAGGACGUUCCCGAGCGGGCCGCUGCCGUCCAGGUGGACGUGCCCGAGGUUCCCGAGGCGGGGCUCGAGGUGGUUCGGGAUGCCGAGGCGGUGCCCGAGGCUGUGCCCGAUGCCGAGGCGGUGCCUGAUGCGGUGGCCGAGGCGGUUCCCGAUGCAAUGUCCGAUGCCGAGGCGGUGCCCGUUGCCGAGGCGGUGCCCGAUGCGGUGGCCGAGGUGGUUCCCGAUGCAAUGUCCGAUGCAGUGGCGGUGCCCGAUGCCGAGGCGGUGCCCGAUGCCGAGGCGGUGCCCGAGGCGGUGCCCGAUGCCGAGGCGGUGCCCGAUGCGGUGCCGCAGACGGUGCCAGAGACGGUUCCCGAUGUAAUGCCCGAGACCGAGGCUGUUCCGGAGGUCGAGGCGGUGCCCGAUGUUGUUCCCGAUGCCGAGGCGGUGCCCGAUGCUGUUCCGCAGGUCGAGGCGGUGGCCAAUGCCGUUCCGCAGGUCGAGGCGGUGCCCGAGUUGGUUCCAGAGACCGAGGCGGUGCCCGAGGUGGUGCCCGAUGCGCAGGCCGAGGUCGUUCCCGAGGCGGUGCCCGAUGCGCAGGCCGAGGUCGCUCCUGAGGCGGUGGCCGAUGCGCAGGCCGAGGUCGUUCCUGAGGUGGUGCCCGAUGCAGAGAUCGUUCCCGAGGCGGUGUCCUUGUCCAAGGCCGUUCCCGAGGCCGUGCCCGAGGCCGUUCCCGAGGCGGGGGCCUUGUCCAAUGUCGUUCCUGAGGCCGUUCCUGAGGUCGUUCCUGAGACCGUUCCCGAGGCGGUGUCCUGGUCCGAUGCCGUUCCUGAGGCCGUUCCUGAGGCCAUUCCAGAGGCGGUGGCCGAUGCUGUUCCGGAGGCCGAUGCGGGGCCCAGGAUGGCUCCGGAGGCGAUACCCGUGUCCAAGGCCGUUCCCGAGGCGGUGCCCUUGUCUGAGGUCGUUCCUGAUGCCGUUCCCAAUGCCGUGACCGGGCCAUCGCCACAGCCUGCUCCUUACUGGCUCCCCGAUUGGCAGGUUCCGUUCGGGCCACUCAAAUGGCGAAUUCCUCCCUGGCCGUCUGCACAACGAGAAUGGACUGAUCCACCGUGGCCACCUGAACUGCCUGGCCCCUCGUGGUCCCCUGAACUUUCGGGUCCACCGUGGCCACCUGAACUGCCUGGUCCCUCGUGGUCCCCUGAACUUUCGGGUCCACCGUGGCCACCUGAACUGCCUGGUCCCUCGUGGUCCCCUGAACUUUCGGGUCCAC